GGUAAAAUGGCUGAGCAUAAGCAUUGAACUGUAAAUUCAAAGACAUAGACUAGAUAUCUCUUUUAACUA
rnacentral:tRNA from 1 species